rnacentral:rRNA from 1 species
UACAGAGGGUGCAAGCGUUGUUCGGAAUUAUUGGGCGUAAAGGGCUCGUAGGCGGUUUGUCACGUCGGGAGUGAAAACUCAGGGCUUAACCCUGAGCCUGCUUCCGAUACGGGCAGACUAGAGGUAUGCAGGGGAGAACGGAAUUCCUGGUGUAGCGGUGAAAUGCGCAGAUAUCAGGAGGAACACCGGUGGCGAAGGCGGUUCUCUGGGCAUUACCUGACGCUGAGGAGCGAAAGUGUGGGGAGCGAACAGG